rnacentral:rRNA from 1 species
GUGGGGAAUUUUGGACAAUGGGCGCAAGCCUGAUCCAGCAAUGCCGCGUGUGUGAAGAAGGCCUUCGGGUUGUAAAGCACUUUUGGCAGGAAAGAAAUAGUGCGUGCUAAUACCAUGCGCGAAUGACGGUACCUGCAGAAUAAGCACCGGCUAACUACGUGCCAGCAGCCGCGGUAAGACGUAGGGUGCAAGCGUUAAUCGGAAUUAUUGGGCGUAAAGCGUGCGCAGGCGGUUUUGUAAGACAGGUGUGAAAUCCCCGGGCUCAACCUGGGAACGGGACUUGUGACUGCAAGGCUAGAGUGUGUCAGAGGGAGGUGGAAUUCCGCGUGUAGCAGUGAAAUGCGUAGAUAUCUGAAGGAACAUCAGUGGCGAAAGCGACUUCCUGGACCAAUACUGACGCUCAUGUGCGAAAGCGUGGGGAGCAAACAGGAUUAGAAACCCGUGUAGUCC